GAAGAUGGGAUGGUCAUGUUAAAAGUAUAAGAAGGAGAACAAACUAUAAAACAUGGCUGCAACAUCCAGUGUGUCAAGAUGACAAUUCUGAAGAGGAGACCAGUUACCCAUGCAACUCUAAAACAUCGCCACAUCAUACCAUGAUGGAUGACAGAUCUGACAGAGUAGAGGAGAUCAGUUAUCCAUACAACUGUAACACAUCACCACAUCAUACCAUGGAUGAUGAAUCUGAGACUGAAGUGGAGAACUGGGACCAACACAGCACAAAUGACACAGCAACAGAUUUUUGCAUGGAUGGAGAAUCUGAUAAUGAGCAUUGCGAACCACAAAACUGGCAUAUGACUCCACCACA